rnacentral:rRNA from 1 species
UUUAAGGUCUGACCUGCCCAAUGAGUUAUUGAAUGGCCGCGGUAUUUUGACCGUGCGAAGGUAGCAUAAUAAUUAGCUCUUUAAUUGAGAGCUGGAAUGAAUGGUUGGACGAGAAAAAAACUGUCUCUGCUUAAAUUAGCUUAGAAUUUUAUCUUUAAGUAAAAAAGCUUAAAUUUUUUUAAAAGACGAGAAGACCCUAUAGAGUUUUAUAUUUUUAGUUUGCUUUAAUUUUUGGUAUCUUUGCUUGGAGCAGGUAAUGAGAUAUUUCGUUGGGGUGACGGGAAAACUAAAUAAACUUUUCCUAUUUUUUAACAUUGAUUUAUGGCUGCUUGAUCCGUUCUUUACGAUUACAAGAUUAAAUUACCUUAGGGAUAACAGCGUUAUUCUUCUUGAGAGUUCUUAUCGAAAGGAGAGUUUGCGACCUCGAUGUUGGAUUAAAAU